ACACAUGCAAGUCGAACGGAAUCAAGAGGAGCUUGCUUUUCUUGAUUUAGUGGCGAACGGGUGAGUAACGCGUGAGUAACCUGCCCUGGAGUGGGGGACAACAGUUGGAAACGACUGCUAAUACCGCAUAAGCCCACGGUACCGCAUGGUACUGAGAGAAAAGGAUUUAUUCGCUUCAGGAUGGACUCGCGUCCAAUUAGCUAGUUGGUGAGGUAACGGCCCACCAAGGCGACGAUUGGUAGCCGGACUGAGAGGUUGAACGGCCACAUUGGGACUGAGACACGGCCCAGACUCCUACGGGAGGCAGCAGUGGGGGAUAUUGCACAAUGGGGGAAACCCUGAUGCAGCGACGCCGCGUGGAGGAAGAAGGUUUUCGGAUUGUAAACUCCUGUCGUUAGGGACGAUAAUGACGGUACCUAACAAGAAAGCACCGGCUAACUACGUGCCAGCAGCCGCGGUAAAACGUAGGGUGCAAGCGUUGUUCGGAAUUACUGGGUGUAAAGGGAGCGCAGGCGGACCGGCAAGUUGGAAGUGAAAUCCAUGGGCUCAACCCGUGAAUUGCUUUCAAAACUGCUGGCCUUGAGUAGUGCAGAGGUAGGUGGAAUUCCCGGUGUAGCGGUGGAAUGCGUAGAUAUCGGGAGGAACACCAGUGGCGAAGGCGACCUACUGGGCACCAACUGACGCUGAG
rnacentral:rRNA from 1 species